rnacentral:rRNA from 1 species
AGAGUUUGAUCCUGGCUCAGAUUGAACGCUGGCGGCAUGCCUUACACAUGCAAGUCGAACAGCAGCACGGGAGCAAUCCUGGUGGCGAGUGGCGAACGGGUGAGUAAUAUAUCGGAACGUGCCCAGUCGUGGGGGAUAACGCAGCGAAAGCUGUGCUAAUACCGCAUACGAUCUCUGGAUGAAAGCGGGGGACCUGCAAGGGCCUCGCGCGAUUGGAGCGGCCGAUAUCAGAUUAGCUAGUUGGUGGGGUAAAAGCUCACCAAGGCGACGAUCUGUAGCUGGUCUGAGAGGACGACCAGCCACACUGGAACUGAGACACGGUCCAGACUCCUACGGGAGGCAGCAGUGGGGAAUUUUGGACAAUGGGCGCAAGCCUGAUCCAGCAAUGCCGCGUGCAGGAUGAAGGCCUUCGGGUUGUAAACUGCUUUUGUACGGAACGAAAAGGCUCUUUUUAAUAAAGAGGGCUCAUGACGGUACCGUAAGAAUAAGCACCGGCUAACUACGUGCCAGCAGCCGCGGUAAUACGUAGGGUGCGAGCGUUAAUCGGAAUUACUGGGCGUAAAGCGUGCGCAGGCGGUUUUGUAAGACAGAUGUGAAAUCCCCGGGCUCAACCUGGGACCUGCAUUUGUGACUGCAAGGCUAGAGUACGGUAGAGGGGGAUGGAAUUCCGCGUGUAGCAGUGAAAUGCGUAGAUAUGCGGAGGAACACCGAUGGCGAAGGCAAUCCCCCUGGACCUGUACUGACGCUCAUGC